rnacentral:rRNA from 1 species
GACGAACGCUGGCGGCGUGCUUAACACAUGCAAGUCGAACGGUAAGGCCCCAGCUUGCUGGGGUCCACGAGUUGCGACCGGGUGAGUAACACGUGGGUGCCCUGCACCGCACUUCGGUUUAAGCUUGGGAAACUGGGUCUAAUCCCGGCUAGGAUCUCACGCCGUGAGAUUGGUGGACGUUUUGUCGGCUUGGGAUGGGCGUGCGGCCUAUCAGCUUGGUGGGGGGGUAAUGGCUUACCAAGGCGGCGCCGGGUAGCUGGCCUGAGGGGGUGGAAGGCUCCAUCAGGACGGAGACACGGCCCGGACUCGUACGGGAGGCAGCAGUGGAGAAGAUUGCACAAGGGGCGGAAGCCUGAUGCAGCGACGCCGCGUGGGGGAUGACGGCCUGCGGGUUGGGAACUCCUUUCACCUUCGACGAAGGGUUACUGACGGUAGAGGGAGAAGAAGCACCGGCUAACUACGUG